GGAAUUGUACUUUAACAUAAAAGAUCUGAUUUGCAUUUAGACAAUAGGAUUUUUAUCCUUAAUUCCA
rnacentral:tRNA from 1 species